UUUAUUUGAUUUUCGAUUGAUGAUAAAUAAGAAUGGAAGAGUGUUCAUUUUGAUGCAACUGAAAAAAAAAGCAAGUUGACCGUCAUGGUUUCGUUUCAUUUUGGAGAAUCUUCUAAUUAAUUACGGAACAUUAAAAAAACCCUGGAUGGCAUUAAUUUACAGUGCCUUGGUUGUGUCAGUGUUCAUUCGAUUCAGAAAGUAGCUAUCCUAAAAAGAAGCACAAAAGUGCCUUUUUUCCAUUGAGAAGGGAUACAUUGUGGCAUUGAUGAAGGAAGGAUUUAUGACGAAUGAACUGAUUGUCCAAGUGAAAAGGAAUUAAUUCUGAUGGUACUGAAAGAGCUGAUGCUUUUGACGUCUUACCCUUGCAACAUAGUUUUGAACCUGUGAGGAGGAGGCAUCUGGAUAUUAAUUUGGAAACAACUAAAACAACAAAUAGUCUGCAGUGGUAUUCCUCCUGGAUUUUGCUUGUUCAUUCGAUCUGUGGACCUUUUAAAAGCUACUUUCUGCAGUUAAUUAAGAUUGCCCAACAAAUGAGUUCAGUUUGGCGCUACUCGAGCAACCGUCUACACUCUACAUGGGUGUGGUCUUUUCUCGACGUUGUUUGU
rnacentral:lncRNA from 1 species